AGGAGAGGAGAGGAGAGGAGAGGAGAGGAGAGGAGAGGAGAGGAGAGGAGAGGAGAGGAGAGGAGAGGAGAGGAGAGGAGAGGAGAGGAGAGGAGAGGAAAGGAAAGGAGAGGUGGAAUGUGGCUUUCUCCUCCUUCCCUCUUCAGUGUUUGUUAGCUAAUAAAUCAUUCAGAGAGAGAGAUGUGGAGAAUAGUUCUAUGUUGCAAACAGUUGACCUCCUGGUUUGUCCUCAUUUCACUACAUUAGUGGACAGAGGAGCUUUUUCCAUCUACUCUACUGUAGUUUUUUGUCCUAUACUAUUCAUAUUAUUAUUUUUAAUCCCAGCCCCCGUCCCUGCAGGAGGCAGCCUAUGCCUUUUGGUAGGCGGUCAUUGUAAAUAACAAGUUAUUCUUAAUUGAAUUGCCUAGUUAAUUAAAUAAAGGUGUUUUAUUAUCAUUAUCUACAGUGGAUUGAACAGCAGAGGUACAGUAGCAGGGGAAUCGGCAGAGGUACAGUAGCAGGGGAAUCGGCAGAGGUACAGUAGCAGGGGAAUCAGCGGAGGUACAGUAGCAGGGGAAUCAGCAGAGGUACAGUAGCAAGGGAAUCGGCGGAGGUACAGUAGCAGGGGAAUCGGCGGAGGUACAGUAGCAGGGGAAUCGGCGGAGGUACAGUAGCAGGGGAAUCGGCGGAGGUACAGUAGCAGGGGAAUCGGCAGAGGUACAGUAGCAGUAUGUGUUAUCCAGGGAAUGAUGUAUCUAUGAGAUGGAGGUCAGUAUGUGUUAUCCAGGGAAUGAUGUAUCUAUGAGAUGGGGGCCAGUCUCCCAGUCUCCCGGUCUCCCGGUCUCCCGGUCUCCCAGUCUCCCAGUCUCCCGGUCUCCCGGUCUUCCAGUCUCCCUCCUCUCAUCCACCCCAGGGUGAUAUCCCUCCUGCUGAUAUCCUUGUCUACUGCUAAGAGAGAAUACUCUCUCAUCUUCCGCGCCCCCCUUUAAUCUUCUCAUCAACACGGAGAUUACACAGUGCCGCGCUUGUAAGAACUAGGAACACAGCGCACAACGAGGGGCGCGGAGGGAACAGAAAGGGGUAGAUAAGAAAGAAGAGGACACAGAGAGGGAGAGAGGAGAAAGAGAGAUGGAAAGAAGAGAGAGAAAGAAGAGAGAGAGUAAAAUAGAGAGAGUAAAGGAGAGAGCGAGAGAGAGGGGGAGAGAUGAAGAGUAAAAUAGAGAGAGUAAAGGAGAGAGAGAGAGGGAAAGAAGAGAGUAAAAUAGAGAGAGUAAAGGAGAGAGAGAGAGAGGGAGAGAUGAAGAGUGCAUCAGAGGGUGUGACGUACUAUCACCCAUCAUUAGCUCUGUUUACACACGUACCACAGGAGGAAAGGUCACCAUCCCCACAGUGUCUUUUCGCCUCGGUGACAAUAUGUUAUCUUUCCUCUCAGCGGCUCUGACUAACCCCAGAUCAGUGUCUGCAUCUCUAACGGCACCCUGUUCCCUGUGGGCCCUCGUUGCACCCUGUUCCCCGUGGGCCCUCGUUGCACCCUGUUCCCCGUGGGCCCUCGUUGCACCCUGUUCCCCGUGGGCCCUCGUUGCACUGCGUAAGGAAUAGUGUGCCAUUUGGGACGGGAUCAGUUUCUAGGGGCUGCCAACCGGUAAUCCUGUUGGAUUGUCGGAUAUAAGGGCAGAGGGCCUGGAGGACACAGAAGAGAGUCAUGUGGGUUCAAGACCAAGGGAGGAGGAGUGGAGGGGUGGAAGACAAGUGGAAUAGCAGGAAGAUUGGAGGUGUGGUGGAAGGGUGGAAUAGCAGCAGGAGGAACAGUGGAAGGGAGGUGGAAUAGCAGCAGGAGGAACAGUGGAAUGGAGGUGGAAUAGCAGCAGGAGGAACAGUGGAAGGGAGGUGGAAUAGCAGCAGGAGGAACAGUGGAAGGGAGGUGGAAUAGCAGCAGGAGGAACAACAGUGGAAGGGAGGUGCGAGCUGAGUUUGAAAUUAACAAUUAGAAAAAGUCAUGAAGGAAUGGUCAUAAUCACUCCCACUAAUAAUCAGUCACUGAUCUACGGAGACAAAUCCACCGACACAGGAAAUUAUAUUACAUACCAGGAAUGAGAGGGAGAGAGAGAGAGAGAGGAGAGGAAGAGAGGAACAAGAGCAAGAGUGAGGUGGCCAUGGGAUCUGUUUCCUGUUUCUGCUGCACACACACACACACGCAUGCUCAUACACACUCACCCACAAAUGCACACACACAUACGAACACUAACACACACAUACACACAUAAACACAUAAACUCAAGCACAAGCACGCAUUCACAUACACACACUCAUACACGCACACACACACAUACACACACACAUAUACACACACACACACAUACAAUCACUCACAUGUACUCACACACAAACACACACUCACACGCAUGCUCAUACACACUCACACACAAAUACACACACACACACAUGCAUACACUCACUCACACAGAUGCAUACACACACACACCGUGUAUAAUGCAUGGGGGUUCAGUGACAUUAAAAUUAUAGGUUAUUGAGCGUUUUAAAGGGAUUUAUAGGUCAGAGCUACAGUCUGUG
ensembl:lncRNA